rnacentral:rRNA from 1 species
GAUUUCUGACCUGGCGGGUUGACCCGUGUCCUCAUUGGGCAUGUGUGUCGCACUUUGUCGGUCAUCUUUCCAGGGAACUGUCCUACCCUUCACUGGGCCGGGAUUGCGAACUGGAACUUUUACUUUGAAAAAAUUAGAGUGUUCAAAGCAGGCUUGUGCGCAUGAAUACAUUAGCAUGGAAUAAUAACUUAGGACUUUGGUUCUGAUUUGUUGGUUCUUAGGACUAAAGUAAUGAUUGAUAGGGAUAGUUGGGGGUGCUAGUAUUCAGCGGCCAGAGGUGAAAUUCUUGGAUUCGCUGAAGACUAACUUAUGCGAAAGCAUU